rnacentral:rRNA from 1 species
UACGUAGGUCCCGAGCGUUGUCCGGAUUUAUUGGGCGUAAAGCGAGUGCAGGCGGUUUAUUAAGUCUGGUGUAAAAGGCAGUGGCUCAACCAUUGUAUGCAUUGGAAACUUGUAGGCUUGAGUGCAGGAGAGGAGAGUGGAAUUCCAUGUGUAGCGGUGAAAUGCGUAGAUAUAUGGAGGAACCCCGGUGGCGAAAGCGGCUCUCUGGCCUGUAACUGACCCUGAGGCUCCAAAGCGUUGGGAGCAAACAG